rnacentral:rRNA from 1 species
UACGGGGGGGGCAAGCGUUGUUCGGAAUUACUGGGCGUAAAGGGCGCGUAGGCGGUUUGCUAAGUUGGACGUGAAAACUCUGGGCUUAACCCAGAGCCUGCAUCCAAAACUGGCAAGCUAGAGUUUUGGAGGGGGAAGCGGAAUUCCACGUGUAGCGGUGAAAUGCGUAGAGAUGUGGAGGAACACCAGUGGCGAAGGCGACUCUUUGGCCUGUAACUGACACUGAGGCGCGAAAGCGUGGGGAGCAAACAGG